ACCCGCUGAACUUAAGCAUAUCAAUAAGCGGAGGAAAAGAAACUAACAAGGAUUCCCCUAGUAACGGCGAGUGAAGCGGGAUGAGCUCAAAUUUAAAAUCUGGCGGCCUCAGGUCAUCCGAGUUGUAAUCUAGAGAAGCGUUUUCCGCGUUGGCCUGUGUACAAGUCCCUUGGAAUAGGGCGUCAUAGAGGGUGAGAAUCCCGUCCUUGACACAGAUCCCAAUGCUUUGUGAUACGCUCUCAAAGAGUCGAGUUGUUUGGGAAUGCAGCUCAAAAUGGGUGGUAAAUUCCAUCUAAAGCUAAAUAUUGGCGAGAGACCGAUAGCGAACAAGUACCGUGAGGGAAAGAUGAAAAGCACUUUGGAAAGAGAGUUAAACAGUACGUGAAAUUGUUGAAAGGGAAACGAUUGAAGUCAGUCAUGCUUCUCUGGAUUCAGCUUGUUCUACAAGUGUAUUUCCAGUUUUGCAGGCCAGCAUCAGUUUUGUUUGAUGGAAAAAGCUUGAGGAACGUGGCAACCCCGGUUGUGUUAUAGCCUCUUUGCGCAUACAUCAAAUGGGACUGAGGAACGCAGUGUGCCUUUAUGGUCGGUCUUCGGACACGUACGCACUUAGGAUGCUGGCAUAAUGGCUUUAAACGACCCGUCUUGAAACACGG
rnacentral:rRNA from 1 species